GAACACAGGAAUUUUAGCGGAACCAUACAAGAAUUCACGAAAUCAGUUCAUUUUCAUAGGAAAAACACAGAAAACGGGAAAAAUUCUCACAUUCCAAAGGGAGCCUUAGUUUUUGCAUUCAAAUGGUUUGAAAGUGGAUCGGAUGGAGAGUUCAAGGGACAUGGCCAGUUAAAUACUAAGGUUCAUAACAGGUUUUCAUCCAAAUGCCCUAAUAUAGAUUAGUCAUUUUUAAAUAGCAAGUGAUUAUAUGCUCCUCCAUCCCCUCUAAUCCCAUGCAUGCAAAUGAGCCCUGAUAGAUUAGUAACAAUGUCCUUUGAUCCCCAAACCUGCACCGGUGUCCACACAUUGGUUUGGACUCAAGCCGAUAAACAAUUUCUCACAAGCUAGCAAGCAAUGAUUCUUUCCUUGUAUCCUGGACUCACAGUUUUUCAAGGAUGGAAAGCAAUGAUGGUGGGAAAAGGCAGUGUAUUAAGAGCACCCCCAGUAUACUGGGAGAUACCGAUGCUCGAAGAGGAGAGAAUGCUUUAGCUUGUCUCUAUAAAUUGUAUCUGCAGCAGCUACGACUACAGGAGCUGUAAAUUUUAAUUUUGUAGGUAGAUGCUUCAAAAUCCAAAAAGAU
rnacentral:lncRNA from 7 species